AAUGACCAAAAAGAGAGAGCCGAAAUUGUAAUCUAUGGUUAAUUAUUAGACAAAGACAAUAAGAAUAAACAAGUACAGCAAUAGUAAAUAAAUCAAAAAUAAUAAAAUAAUAUUCUAAAAAUGUAAAAAAAUAAACAUUUUAUGUUUCUCUAUGAUUUUGGUGUUGUAAAUUGUAUAUACCAGAGAAAAGGUACAUUAUGCAAUUACUAAAUAGUUCCUAUAUUACUUAUUACUUAGGUUCUCUCCACGAUUUUAUUCCUAUAAUUUUCAAUUCCUUAUGGGCGAUUUAAGUUUAUAUCUGAAUUGGGUAUACUCUGAACUGAAAUUGGUUUAUUCAUUUGCCUCUCUACUGAUAUUUCCCUUUAGAAACUAUGGAUAAUAUAGAUGAAGUAACAGUUUUAAAAAUGUACAUUAAUAUUAAUGCCCAGUAGCUAAGUGCUAACUAUUAUUAUAUUUUGAUAUAAGCAGAGAUAUAAGGCUGUAAUAAUCUCCCAGCUAUAAUGUCAACAUAUCAAUGAUUAUGUUGUAAUUUUUAUAAGAAAAACCUUUUGUUAGUGCCUUUUGUUAGUACAGUUGCUU